rnacentral:rRNA from 1 species
AUGGCUGCAUUGCCAGAUAGGAGUGGUCAUUCCAUUGUAGUUUGGACUUUGGAGGAUUAUGCUCAUCAUUUAUGGCAUUGGACCCUGAAGUGCCAUCUUAACAUGGCAGAUGCAUUUGGAAGGAAAGACUUGGUUUGCUACGACAAUGGAGGCAUCGGUGGUGUCUCUGACUGGUUUUGGAACUGCGAUUAUCGGAUUCUCGCUCUCGAGUUGGAGAGAGAGCUUGUUGUCCUCUCUGACCAUAAGACAAUGAAGCUUAUCUCUUACAAUAUCAGCACCGGGGAACUUAACGAGAUACGAGACGGCCUUGAGGGGUAUCGGUACUAUGUGCCAUGCUACUCAGAGCUUCUAGCCCAAGAACCUUCGGUGUAG